rnacentral:rRNA from 1 species
UCCCUCGUGUGCCUCGCGAGUACGUCACGAGAGUUAGUAGUCUAUGGCUCAGGACGAACGGCUGGCGGUGUGCCUCAUACAUGCAAGUCGAACGAUAAGGUCCUUCGGGAAUACAUAAGUGGCGGACGGGUGAGUACAACAUAGGAAAUCUGCCCUAAAGCGGGGGAUAACAGAGGGAAACUUCUGCUAAUACCCCAUAUGAGCUUAGUUGAAAUACUAAUCUUGAAAGAUUUAUCACUUUAGGAUGAGCCUGUGCCUGAUUAGCUGGUUGGUGGUGUAAUGGACUACCAAGGCGACGAUCAGUAGCUGGUUUGAGAGGAUGAUCAGCCACAAUGGGACUGAGACACGGCCCAUACUCCUACGGGAGGCAGCAGUAGGGAAUUUUGCGCAAUGGGGGAAACCCUGACGCAGCAACACCGCGUGAAUGUUAAGCCCUUCGGGGUGUAAAGUUCUGUCAGUAGGGAAGAAUUAAUGACUGUACCUACAAAGGAAGCACCGGCUAACUCCGUGCCAGCAGCCGC